rnacentral:rRNA from 1 species
GACCUCAAAUCGGGUGAGACUACCCGCUGAACUUAAGCAUAUCAAUAAGCGGAGGAAAAGAAACUAACAAGGAUUCCCCUAGUAACUGCGAGUGAAGCGGGAAAAGCUCAAAUUUAAAAUCUGGCGGUCUUUGACUGUCCGAGUUGUAAUUUAGAGAAGCGUCUUCCGCGCUGGACCGUGUACAAAUUCU